rnacentral:pre_miRNA from 1 species
AGGAGGAACAGCCCCAGUGGCGGGGCCAGCUCUGGAAACCUGGAUUAAGCUCCGGCAGGAACUCCGUCUGCAGGGCCUGGAGGCUCCGGGGCGGG